rnacentral:lncRNA from 1 species
CUAAAUUAGAAUUUCCUGAUUAGCUGGAGACGUGUCCACGGCCUCCACAGAACGUCAUAAGCCGCACCAGCUCCACACAUCGUCACCAGGUGCUUCCCAUUACGGCGGAAGAGAAGAGGGUGGCGAGCUUCCAUCAUUCAUUCCCUAUAUAUGCUGCCUGGCGACCGGGAGCCUCCGGAAAUCCACAGGUUAGGGUUUGCACACUGAGGACCAUGAUGGAGAGAAAACGAGCCUUAACCAUUCCAUUUGCUCUUGAGAAGGACAAAUUAAUAGAGAAUCCACUCAGAAUCCCCACAUCAUACCUUGAGUGUGAACGAUUUGAACAACAGGUUUCCUGGACUGCAAUUGCCGGCCAUAAAUCCAGACGACGUGAUUCACGACACAAGAAUGGAGCAGUGCUGUUUGACCAUAACCAUGCUGCUAUGGUUAGGUUGGGCUUGGCAGUGAGGAAGCCCCGUCUGAUUCUGACAGAUGUCCUCAAGACUGACGCGGGCAAGGUUUACAUGGAGAAGAUAAAACGGCGCCCAAAUGGGAAGGAGAGGAGAAGUCGUGGCAAAGAUCCACCCAUAGUCGCCAGGGACAGGCGGUCCAGUCAAACAAAAAACACAAACUUACUACCGAGUGUACCACCUAGGAUCAAGCAGACUCCCAAAUUAUCACGAUCAAGUCCAAGAUCUUCAAAAAAGGCACAAAUUGAGAAGGAGGAGGAUGGACAAGGAGAUAAUGACGUGGUAUCUGGUGAAAAUGGGAACGUUGAACUUGUGGAUUGUGGAUUGUCUCUGAGUUGGGAACAAGAAGAUCUAAAUUUAUCUAAAUGUAAGGCCAAAGAAACAUCGAAAGAACCAAAAAAGACAAUACAGCAGGUCAGAUGUGCUGAAGCCCCACUUUUCUUUGAUAAUUGUUCGUCGUUACAAAGACUUUUACAUUCACACCUUGCUAUGUUUUUACAGAAAAGGAAAACAAAUGACUCAUUUUCAGAAUGUCCUGAAACAGACAGCCCCAAACGCCCCAGGGCGAGUGUUUUGCGCCUCUCUGGAGUUGCGAAUAUGGAUGGAGAACCCACCCUUUUUCCAGAGAAAGAAGCAGAUGACAAGGAUUCGAAAAACACAGAUAGUCCUAUUGUGCAGUUUACUGUGGGAGGAGCAAAUGCAGAAACCACAAUGCCCGUGCCAGAGGAUAAUGGUGCAACCACUGACACAGCUGAACCUAUUGUUCUUUCCAGUGAUGAAGAAGACGGUGGGGAAAAAAUUGAGAAUCUGAAACCUAUCUCACAGAAGCCCUUGUUCCCCAACAGAUGCCAGAAGCUGUACAGGAUAUGCAGGUGUUUCAACUACCUGUGA